UAAUUGCGCGUCAACUUGUGAACUGCAGGACACAUGAACAUCGACAUUUCGAACGCACAUUGCGGUCCAGNGAUACAAUUCCCGGACNACGCCUGGCUGAGGGUCG
rnacentral:rRNA from 1 species